UCACUCUGGCUUCUCUUCAACGUAUGAUUCUUUCGCCUUUUACUAAAGAAUUCCGUGGAGAGGAGCAGUUCAAUGAGUCUUGAACAUUUUUCGAUAUCCGACUUAACUUUUAUU
rfam:Ciona savignyi cont_23685, whole genome shotgun sequence.